rnacentral:rRNA from 1 species
GCGUGAGUGAAGAAGGCCUUAGGGUUGUAAAGCUCUUUCGGCGGGGAAGAUGAUGACGGUACCCGCAGAAGAAGCCCCGGCUAACUCCGUGCCAGCAGCCGCGGUAAUACGGAGGGGGCUAGCGUUGUUCGGAAUUACUGGGCGUAAAGGGCGUGUAGGCGGUCCGCCGAGUCAGGCGUGAAAGGCCCGGGCUCAACCCGGGAACGGCGUUUGAUACUGGCGGGCUCGAGACCGGGAGAGGAGAGUGGAAUUCCCAGUGUAGAGGUGAAAUUCGU